rnacentral:rRNA from 1 species
AGAGUUUGAUCAUGGCUCAGAUUGAACGCUGGCGGCAGGCCUAACACAUGCAAGUCGAGCGGUAGCACAGAGAGCUUGCUCUCGGGUGACGAGCGGCGGACGGGUGAGUAAUGUCUGGGAAACUGCCUGAUGGAGGGGGAUAACUACUGGAAACGGUAGCUAAUACCGCAUAACGUCGCAAGACCAAAGUGGGGGACCUUCGGGCCUCAUGCCAUCAGAUGUGCCCAGAUGGGAUUAGCUAGUAGGUGGGGUAACGGCUCACCUAGGCGACGAUCCCUAGCUGGUCUGAGAGGAUGACCAGCCACACUGGAACUGAGACACGGUCCAGACUCCUACGGGAGGCAGCAGUGGGGAAUAUUGCACAAUGGGCGCAAGCCUGAUGCAGCCAUGCCGCGUGUGUGAAGAAGGCCUUCGGGUUGUAAAGCACUUUCAGCGGGGAGGAAGGCGUUAAGGUUAAUAACCUUAGCGAUUGACGUUACCCGCAGAAGAAGCACCGGCUAACUCCGUGCCAGCAGCCGCGGUAAUACGGAGGGUGCAAGCGUUAAUCGGAAUUACUGGGCGUAAAGCGCACGCAGGCGGUCUGUCAAGUCGGAUGUGAAAUCCCCGGGCUCAACCUGGGAACUGCAUUCGAAACUGGCAGGCUAGAGUCUUGUAGAGGGGGGUAGAAUUCCAGGUGUAGCGGUGAAAUGCGUAGAGAUCUGGAGGAAUACCGGUGGCGAAGGCGGCCCCCUGGACAAAGACUGACGCUCAGGUGCGAAAGCGUGGGGAGCAAACAGGAUUAGAUACCCUGGUAGUCCACGCCGUAAACGAUGUCGAUUUGGAGGUUGUGCCCUUGAGGCGUGGCUUCCGGAGCUAACGCGUUAAAUCGACCGCCUGGGGAGUACGGCCGCAAGGUUAAAACUCAAAUGAAUUGACGGGGGCCCGCACAAGCGGUGGAGCAUGUGGUUUAAUUCGAUGCAACGCGAAGAACCUUACCUGGUCUUGACAUCCACAGAACUUUCCAGAGAUGGAUUGGUGCCUUCGGGAACUGUGAGACAGGUGCUGCAUGGCUGUCGUCAGCUCGUGUUGUGAAAUGUUGGGUUAAGUCCCGCAACGAGCGCAACCCUUAUCCUUUGUUGCCAGCGGUUCGGCCGGGAACUCAAAGGAGACUGCCAGUGAUAAACUGGAGGAAGGUGGGGAUGACGUCAAGUCAUCAUGGCCCUUACGACCAGGGCUACACACGUGCUACAAUGGCAUAUACAAAGAGAAGCGACCUCGCGAGAGCAAGCGGACCUCAUAAAGUAUGUCGUAGUCCGGAUUGGAGUCUGCAACUCGACUCCAUGAAGUCGGAAUCGCUAGUAAUCGUAGAUCAGAAUGCUACGGUGAAUACGUUCCCGGGCCUUGUACACACCGCCCGUCACACCAUGGGAGUGGGUUGCAAAAGAAGUAGGUAGCUUAACCUUCGGGAGGGCGCUUACCACUUUGUGAUUCAUGACUGGGGUGAAGUCGUAACAAGGUAACCGUAGGGGAACCUGCGGUUGGAUCACCU